rnacentral:rRNA from 1 species
GACGAACGCUGGCGGCGUGCCUAAUACAUGCAAGUCGAACGCUUCUUUCCUCCCGAGUGCUUGCACUCAAUUGGAAAGAGGAGUGGCGGACGGGUGAGUAACACGUGGGUAACCUACCCAUCAGAGGGGGAUAACACUUGGAAACAGGUGCUAAUACCGCAUAACAGUUUAUGCCGCAUGGCAUAAGAGUGAAAGGCGCUUUCGGGUGUCGUUGAUGGAUGGACCCGCGGUGCAUUAGUUAGUUGGUGAGGUAACGGCUCACCAAGGCCACGAUGCAUAGCCGACCUGAGAGGGUGAUCGGCCACACUGGGACUGAGACACGGCCCAGACUCCUACGGGAGGCAGCAGUAGGGAAUCUUCGGCAAUGGACGAAAGUCUGACCGAGCAACGCCGCGUGAGUGAAGAAGGUUUUCGGAUCGUAAAACUCUGUUGUUAGAGAAGAACAAGGACGUUAGUAACUGAACGUCCCCUGACGGUAUCUAACCAGAAAGCCACGGCUAACUACGUG